CAGUAGCCGCGGUAAUACAGAGGGUGCGAGCGUUAAUCGGAUUUACUGGGCGUAAAGCGUGCGUAGGCGGCUAAUUGAGUCGGAUGUGAAAUCCCCGAGCUUAACUUGGGAAUUGCAUUCGAUACUGGUUAGCUAGAGUGUGGGAGAGGAUGGUAGAAUUCCAGGUGUAGCGGUGAAAUGCGUAGAGAUCUGGAGGAAUACCGAUGGCGAAGGCAGCCAUCUGGCCUAACACUGACGCUGAGGUACGAAAGCAUGAGAGCAAACAGGAUUAGAUACCCCUGUAGUCCCUGUCUCUUAUACA
rnacentral:rRNA from 1 species